ensembl:lncRNA
CACUGCUUUGGUCCUAUGAUCAUAGAUGACAAGGACCUGCAUAGGAUAACAACCCCACAGAUGGGUAUAAACACAUGGGAUACUUCUGCAUCUACCUGAGCCUUUUCCUUUUGCUGUAAAGACUGAGGAGAAAUCUCUUAGCCUCUCAAGUUCUUCAGGAUCAUCCUCCCUUGAUUCACUGUUUUUCCCUGGCCGUUGGUACUCACAAUGGAUGAGUAGCAAGGGGUUAUAAUUCAGAGGCUGUCUGAGCCUCUGCAAUACUCCUACAAAUUUUUGGAUGCAACGUGACCUGCAGAUCUGCUUAGAAAUAAGUAAUGGGUGAAGGAAUACGAUGUAGAGCUGACACCCUUCUACUAAUACUUUGAAUUUUGGUGAAAGCAGAGGAAAUUUUAUUAUUACACUCAGUGACAUUUAGAUGGUAUCUCGAUGCUAAUCUGGCAUUAAAAACAAUACUUUACUUUCUUCAUUCAUAUUUUUACCAUCAUGUGUUUUUCUAGCAUCUUAAAAUCAGGCAAAUAUGAAGUAAUACAAAUUAGUGUAUGCCAGGAAAAAAAAAAAGCAAGAAUUGAAAUUAAAUGACAAAUUGAGGAAUAUAGAAGAUGAGAAAACAGUAUUAAAUGAAAGCAAGAAUCCUGUUUGGAAGGGGCUGCUGUCAGGCUGAAAAUGAAUUAGUGAAAUGACAAAUAGGGCAUGGGGGGAAGAGGAAUUAGGUGUAAAACAUGGGACAUGUCUUGAAAUACUAGAACAAGAAUCAGAGACUAGUAUUUUUUCCAAGACUGGAAGAGAGAUUUACGGACUUCAAGUCUUGGGGCAAAAUUUGUAACAAAAUGCAGGGAAAGAAAAUACAGAGUGAGCAGAGGAACAAAUAAAUCAGGUUUCAGGGUCUGUAAUGCAUCGGAUCAGACUACAGUGAGAAAUACGUAUAGUGAAGGAGAGAGUAAAAGAAGCUGUGAAGUAUGCAAUACAAAAGAAAAAUACAUGGUAAAACGAAAGCAUGAGAAAGAUGUUAACUACACUGUCUGAUGUGACAGUGGAGGAACAAAGCGGAAAGGACACAGCUUUUACAGAUGGCUUCCAACUUAGAAGGAAAAAAUCAAUUCACAAAAGUAGAUGAAAGAUGCGAUGUUUUAUAUCUGUCUCAAAAAGGCACUGAAUUAAAUGAAUUCUGAGCACUUCUUUGUUGUUCUUUUCUCACAACUGUUUAGUUCAGGGUGUUUUUUUUCCCCUCUUGCUUCUUUUUAACAAUCUUUCCACGUGUAUAGUUCCUCUCAUUCUGUGUGAACGACUCAUUGGUUCUACCAACUGUUGAAAAUAUAGGUAGCAUGAGUAAAUCCCUUCUGUCAGUGCUAGUGGGAAGGGAGUCUUGUAUUGCUCCUUAACAAUGAACUUCUUUUUCUGCCCCGUCAAAAGAUAUCAUCAGACUCAUUUUAGGCUAGCUAGCCUGCCUUUUCCUCUUCGUUUUCCUCCAGUGUACUUUGUGUGUCCCCGGUAAGCACGACUCUUCCAGAUGGGUCCCUGCUCUUGGUUCGUUUUCAGCUGCAUUAAGUGAAUGGUCUGGCUAACUGCAAUUCUUCUGACCCUGAUAAGCUGUCUGAAAACAACAGAAAAUAACUGAUGUAUCUUUUGAGCUUAUGCUUUUACCUCAAUUUUUAAAAUCUGAUGUAGGUUUAGUUGAAAUAUUUCAGUUCUCAGUUUUGAGAGGAGUGUAAUGGAAAAUAUAUAGAUUUAAAUAGUCUUUUGUUUCUUAUAUUCUCAUUUUGGUUGUAGUUUUUGUACUGUGUCAUCAGAUAAACACAGUGUAUUACACUUGCAAAGGAGGGAUAGGUUUAGGAGGAACCAUCCUAACACACUGCCAUGGCCCUAUGCAAUAGCCAUCCCUGAGGUUCUGAUGCUCUGCUCAAAGCCCCUGUCCCCACAUCAGCCUGGGGCCAUCAGCCCCAUCACUAGCAAGAUCUCAGUAGAGCUAAUUUGCAGCUCCUCACAGCCUUGUCCUGCCCAGCCAUCAGCCCAGCCCAGCCAGGCCUACAACAGGCCCAUGUCAAAGCUUGGCCAUAGCUUUUCUCUGUUCCCAGGGAGGUGCCUGAUGCCCGGGCUACUCAUGUCCCUAGCUGCCCUGUUCCUGGUGGGGCAACAGGAUGAAGCCCAGCUGCCAGGCCCUGCCCUGAUACCCCAUGAGGUCCCCAGUAGGCUUGAGUUGCCCAGAACCUUGGAGUUAUCAGCACCUAUGGUGCCUUGACACAUAUACUGUUGGGCUAAGGAAAAAUGUCCAUUGCCUGCCCUUUGUGUAAUGAUUGUUUCAACUCACACUAAGAAAGCAGGAAAAUACUUUCCCACCUCUGGCAUUAGAACUUAGACUACUAUACUUUUUCCAUCAGAAAUUACAGCUUGCUUCCCUAAGAAGAAAUUUUGGAAAUGCUUUGUAUUGUUAAACCAUGUGGUAUAGUAAACUCAGUAGACAAAUGCAGUCAUUACAGUGUGGCCUGUUCACAAAGAGCGUGAAUAGUUCUUCACACAAGAGUUACUUCAGCAGUGAAUGAAGUGUAUACAGAUCUUGAUAUCUGGACAUUAUCUGUUCCAUCCAUUGUGGAACUGGCAGAUAUCCCAGGGACCAGACUGUGAUAAAGGCUUUUGGACUUCAAUUAGUAUUUAAAUUCUCUUAUUCAGGGGAAAGUAUAUAUUAUCAAUGCAGUUUGUCUUGUAUAGUUUAUGUGCAUCCCUCUACAGUUUGUAACAGUGAUUUAUCAUCCUUGACCUUUUUUUCUUUUUUUUUCUUUUUUUUUUUUUUAAUUAGCAAUUAAUUGAUUAAUAUCUAUUCUUACUAACUUGAAAUGGUAGUUGAUUCCAUUCUCGGUAAUUAAAUGAGCUGGGGUUUCUUUGCCUUCAAUCAGAGUGAUGCAGGCCUAGGUAUAGUGAGUUUAUAUUUGUCUAUUCACUAUUGCUGAAAUGUCACCAUUCUUUUAAUUGGAUUUAUUUGCAUAUUUUAAAGUCAUUUGAUCAUCCUGCCAGGCUGUGUAGGACAGCUUGGUUUUAUCUGGUUAGAGAUUUCGUUUAUCCAGUAAUCCAGUUACUGAGAUAAUAAGUUGCCUAUGAGUUAAAAGUACGUCUUCCAGAAAAGCAUGUAAUAGUCUCUUCAGUAGAUGGCAGUGCUGGGAUUAAAACUGCUGUUUGACUAAUAUGCAAAUUCCUGCCUGUUGGGAUUUAGGUGUAAAAAGAUUUUCAGGGCAUUCUCAUCUUUAAUUUGGGACUCCAGUUUGCUUGGAAGGCUAAAACUGUGGGGAAAGUUAUUUAUACUGGCUCAGAAAAUGCAGAAAAGCAGAUCAAACGCCACAGGGAUGAUCAAUUUGUUCCAGAGAGCUUAUGCAUGCAUGAACAAGCUAAAGCUAUGGGAAAUACGUAACCAUACACCUCCAAAAAUGAUAGUUCCUCUUCUGCACGUGGUAUAAUCCACUUCUGUUGUUCUCUGUAAAAUACUAUUGUUAACUGAUAUGUUACAAGUUCUGAUUACAUAGCUUCUGUUUGAAAGUGUUUUAAUUUUAUAUUUAUUAAACCUUGCCAGAAUCACUGUGAUAUCUCUACAUUGUGGAGAAUUUCUCUCUACAUGGCACCAUAAAGGACUCCAUUGCUGGGUUCUUGUGACUUCAGAAACCACUUGAUUAUAAUGAAGAACAUUUUCCUACCAGUAGAAAAUUUAAAGAUUAGGAAGUUCUGAUUCCUUAUAACUUCUGAAAUAGAGAAUUAUCUGGUUUUACAAACAGGAUCAUUUCUCAGAAGACAGUUUGGCAGAAUUCUCUUUAAAGGUCAUUUAUCUUAACAGCAUGUAUUAAGUAGUUCACAGGAAACUGCUCUGGAGUACAGAACGAAGAGCAAUAAUUUCCUUUAUCAUUAGGGCUCUGGGAGAGAAUGAAGGUCUCUCUUGGAUUAGAGUUGUCCUGUUCCUUGUGUGGACAACAAAGAAUGGUUUAUUGUAGCAAUUAAAAUGUGCGGUGACAGCAUAUCAUUGUUUAUCUGUUCAGAAAGUAGGCUAGGGAGAAAUCUCACAACUACACAUAAUGCAGUGCUGAGUAAUGUAUUCCAGAUCACAUACUUAAGGUAAUAAUACUAAAUCUACGAGUAGCUAGGAAUUCUCAGUCAUCUUGAUGCUGUUGAUACCUGCAUUGACACGGUACCUCAGGGAGGCUACAGAGAUACUUCCUAGAUCUUCUUCUUCUAAAACAGCCUCUGAGAAGGAGAUUUUUGUUAUUUUCCACUAGUAUUAAUGUGCCUGUGGAAGAUCUGCAACUUAGAUCCUAUCUGAUGGGGCAAACUAUUAUACUUUAAAACAAAAAAAAAA